rnacentral:rRNA from 1 species
AUACGGAGGAUGCGAGCGUUAUCCGGAUUUAUUGGGUUUAAAGGGAGCGUAGGUGGGAUAUUAAGUCAGCUGUGAAAGUUUGGGGCUCAACCUUAAAAUUGCAGUUGAUACUGGGUGUCUUGAGUACAGUAGAGGCAGGCGGAAUUCGGGGGGUAGCGGUGAAAUGCUUAGAUAUCACGAAGGACUCCGAUUGCGAAGGCAGCCUGCUGGACUGUAACUGACGCUGAUGCUCGAAAGUGUGGGUAUCAAACAGGAUUAGAUACCCUGGUAGUCCACACAGUAAACGAUGAAUACUCGCUGUUUGCGAUAUACAGUAAGCGGCCAAGCGAAAGCGUUAAGUAUUCCACCUGGGGAGUACGCCGGCAACGGUGAAACUCAAAGGAAUUGACGGGG